UACAGGGGGGGCAAGCGUUGUUCGGAAUUACUGGGCGUAAAGGGUUCGUAGGUGGCCACUUAAGUCAGACGUGAAAUCCCUCAGCUUAACUGGGGAACUGCGUCUGAUACUGGAAGGCUCGAGUUUGGGAGAGGGAUGUGGAAUUCCAGGUGUAGCGGUGAAAUGCGUAGAUAUCUGGAGGAACACCGGUGGCGAAGGCGGCAUCCUGGACCAACACUGACGCUGAGGCGCGAAAGCUAGGGGAGCAAACGGG
rnacentral:rRNA from 1 species